AGAACGAACGCUGGCGGCAGGCUUAACACAUGCAAGUCGAACGCUCGUAGCAAUACGGGAGUGGCAGACGGGUGAGUAACGCGUGGGAACAUACCCUCCGGUUCGGAAUAGCUCAGGGAAACUUGGAUUAAUACCGGAUACGGCUGAGAGGCGAAAGAUUUAUCGCCGGAGGAUUGGCCCGCGUUCGAUUAGCUUGUUGGUGAGGUAACGGCUCACCAAGGCGAUGAUCGAUAGCUGGUCUGAGAGGAUGAUCAGCCACAUUGGGACUGAGACACGGCCCAAACUCCUACGGGAGGCAGCAGUGGGGAAUAUUGGACAAUGGGCGCAAGCCUGAUCCAGCCAUGCCGCGUGAGUGAUGACGGCCUUAGGGUUGUAAAGCUCUUUCGCUCGGGACGAUAAUGACGGUACCGAGAUAAGAAGCCCCGGACUACUUCGUGCCAGCAGCCGC
rnacentral:rRNA from 1 species